CCCAAGACACCACUACUUCUAGGUCCCACAGCUUGAUCCCGCCAAGGUAACCAUUUGUCCUCUCCCGUCUUGGCAUGUAGUUUUAGUGACAUGUGGUUAUAAUUAGUCAGCCAAAUAGCCCACAUAGGCUGUUAAUCUAAAGUCAGAUUACACAUUACUUUUCUUUUUUUUUCUUCUAGGAAUUAUUGAGUUCCCUGUACUUCCCUCUGCAUCUAUUCUCGGUGUCAUUUUCUGAAUUUGGUAAGGUGUAUUCUUUUCUUUGGCAAAAAGAGAAGGCAGGAGGAGGAGGAAGCUGAGAGGGAGAGGGCGAGGAGAUCUCGGUCUGCACAUUGCGUCUCCCACAAGCUACUGCGGCGGGAGAAUCCUAUACCCAACAUCCUUCUCAAAGCCUGCAGCUACUGCCUUCCCAAGCAAUGCCAACCUGUAGCAACAAGGGUUCAGAUUUUAAGAUCUCCAGUGAGCUUCCAUAGGAUUGGCAGGAGAGGAGGAGCAGAGCUGACCAACUCUGCUCAAGAUCACCUUACUACAACAAUGUAAGCAGCUUCCCUUACAAGGUGUACCACGAGAUCAUACUGUACACGAGUGCUUUGGAGAAAAAAUUCCAUCGUUGUGCUACUGAACCUUGAGGAGCGCCGGGGAGAGAACCCAUUGGAUGCAGAAGCGUGAAGGAGUCCAUACAGUGCAG